CUAUACUGCAGUCGAGCGGAGUUGAUGAGGUGCUUGCACCUUUGAUACUUACGGCGGACGGGUGAGUAACACGUGGGUAACCUGCCUAUAAGACUGGGAUAACAUUCGGAAACNAAUGCUAAUACCGGAUACGCGAUAUGGUCGCAUGACUGAAUCGGGAAAGAUGGAGCAAUCUAUCACUUAUAGAUGGACCCGCGGCGCAUUAGCUAGUUGGUGAGGUAACGGCUCACCAAGGCGACGAUGCGUAGCCGACCUGAGAGGGUGAUCGGCCACACUGGGACUGAGACACGGCCCAGACUCCUACGGGAGGCAGCANUAGGGAAUCUUCCGCAAUGGACGAAAGUCUGACGGAGCAACGCCGCGUGAGUGAUGAAGGUUUUCGGAUCGUAAAGCUCUGUUGCCAGGGAAGAAUGCUUGGGAGAGUAACUGCUCUCAAGGUGACGGUACCUGAGAAGAAAGCCCCGGCUAACUACGUGCCAGCAGCCGCGGUAAUACGUAGGGGGCAAGCGUUGUCCGGAAUUAUUGGGCGUAAAGCGCGCGCAGGCGGCCUUGUAAGUCUGUUGUUUAAACUUGGGGCUCAACCCCAAGUCGCAAUGGAAACUGCAAAGCUUGAGUACAGAAGAGGAAAGUGGAAUUCCACGUGUAGCGGUGAAAUGCGUAGAGAUGUGGAGGACACCAGUGGCGAGCGACUUUCUGGGCUGUAACUGACGCUGAGCGCGAAAGCUGGG
rnacentral:rRNA from 1 species